UACGGAGGGGGCGAGCGUUGUUCGGAAUCAUUGGGCGUAAAGGGCGCGUAGGUGGUUCUGUAUGUCUACCGUGAAAGCGUACGGCUCAACCGUAUUUUGUCGGUAGAAACUGCAGGACUUGAGGCUGGGAGGGGCUGGUGGAAUUCCCUGUGUAGCGGUGAAAUGCGUAGAGAUUGGGGAGAACACUCGUGGCGAAGGCGGCCAGCUAGACCAGUUCUGACACUGAGGCGCGAAAGCGUGGGGAGCAAACAGG
rnacentral:rRNA from 1 species